AUUGAACGCUGGCGGCAUGCUUUACACAUGCAAGUCGAACGGUAACAGGCCUUCGGGCGCUGACGAGUGGCGAACGGGUGAGUAAUGCAUCGGAACGUACCCAGAGGUGGGGGAUAACGCAGCGAAAGCUGUGCUAAUACCGCAUGUGAUCUGAGGAUGAAAGCGGGGGACCGAGCAGCAAUGUUUGGCCUCGCGCCUUUGGAGCGGCCGAUGUCGGAUUAGCUAGUUGGUGGGGUAAAGGCCUACCAAGGCGACGAUCCGUAGCUGGUCUGAGAGGACGACCAGCCACACUGGGACUGAGACACGGCCCAGACUCCUACGGGAGGCAGCAGUGGGGAAUUUUGGACAAUGGGCGCAAGCCUGAUCCAGCAAUGCCGCGUGCGGGAAGAAGGCCUUCGGGUUGUAAACCGCUUUUGGCAGGAACGAAACGGUGUCCGCUAAUACCGGGCGCUAAUGACGGUACCUGCAGAAUAAGCACCGGCUAACUACGUG
rnacentral:rRNA from 1 species